GAAGUGAGGGUGAUUUGGCGGUGACAUCUGUCACCCAUUGAUCAUAUGGUUGAUCUGGCUGAUCUGCCUCACUAGAUGCAUGUCCCCUUCCUCCCUCACCAUGUGCGUCCCUCCCCAUCAAGGCUGUGCGCUCACUCAGUGGAUGAGGACUACUUUCUCCAAUAGAGGAGGACCAUUUUUCCAACAAGAGUAGCUGCACUCUCCUGUAAACUAACUAUCAAGAGCUAGAGUUAGUUCAUAACCCACUUGAAUCAAAGUGUGAAAUAUAACAUAUCAAGAACUGUUU
ensembl:misc_RNA 7SK 7SK RNA